AGAGGCAGGAGUGUGUGCUUCAGUCAGUUUGAGCUCCACCCAGGGAGAACAGAUCAUGAAUACUUCUAAUGCACACGAUCUGAAAGCCGGAAGUCUGAGAUCAGAGUGACAGCAUGGUCAGCCUCUGCUGAGGACUGUCUUCAGGGUUGCAGACUGCAGACUUCUCAUUGUAUCCUCACAUGGUGGAAAGAGCAAGAUAACUUUCUGCGGUCUCCUUUAGAAGAACACUAAUUUCAUUCAUGAUGCCUCCUCUCUCAUGACCUAAUUAUCUUCCAAAGUCCCCACCUCCUAAUACCAUCACACUGGGGUAUGGAUUUCAACAUGUAACUUUUGGUGGGGAGUGGGAGAGGAGUACAAGCAUUCAGUCCAUAAUAACUACAUAAUAAAAAUAUUUAAAAAAUGAAA